rnacentral:pre_miRNA from 1 species
GUACUACUCCCUCCGUUCGGAAUUACUUGUCUCGGAAAUGGAUGUAUCUAGAACUAAAAUACGUCUAGAUACAUCCAUUUCUGUGACAAGUAAUUUGGAAUGGAGGGAGUAGUUG